rnacentral:rRNA from 1 species
GAGCGGCGGACGGGUGAGUAAUACUUAGGAAUCUACCUAGUAGUGGGGGAUAGCUCGGGGAAACUCGAAUUAAUACCGCAUACGUCCUACGGGAGAAAGGGGGCAACUUGUUGCUCUCGCUAUUAGAUGAGCCUAAGUCGGAUUAGCUAGAUGGUGGGGUAAAGGUCUACCAUGGCGACGAUCUGUAGCUGGUCUGAGAGGAUGAUCAGCCACACCGGGACUGAGACACGGCCCGGACUCCUACGGGAGGCAGCAGUGGGGAAUAUUGGACAAUGGGGGNAACCCUGAUCCAGCCAUGCCGCGUGUGUGAAGAAGGCCUUUUGGUUGUAAAGCACUUUAAGCAGNGAAGAAGACCUAACGGUUAAUACCCGUUAGCGAUGACAUUAGCUGCAGAAUAAGCACCGGCUAACUCUGUGCCAGCAGCCGCGGUAAUACAGCAGGUGCAAGCGUUAAUCGGAGUAUUGUGGGUAUAGGGAGCGUAGGUGGUUUGAUAAGUCAGAUGUGA